rnacentral:rRNA from 1 species
UACGUAGGGUGCAAGCGUUGUCCGGAAUUAUUGGACGUAAAGAGCUUGUAGGCGGUUUGUCGCGUCUGCUGUGAAAUUUCGGGGCUCAACCCCGAACUUGCAGUGGGUACGGGCAGACUAGAGUGUGGUAGGGGAGACUGGAAUUCCUGGUGUAGCGGUGAAAUGCGCAGAUAUCAGGAGGAACACCAAUGGCGAAGGCAGCACUCUGGGACGUGACUGACGCUGAGACGCGAAGGCGUGGGGAGCAAACAGG